UAAAAACACUGACCGAGGUAUGACGGCAAAUAAAUAGUAAACUUUGUGUUGGCUGUGGUCUAGUCUAGACCUUUUAGAUUACAAUCUAACAACGAAACCGGAAACAGAAUUCAACUAAACAAUCAUAACAUAGAGCAUUAGACUGAACAUUCAAUAUGAUAUGAUGAUGAUAAUUCUUUAACAGUACUGACUCAUUCAUUUAAAGGUGUAAACUACUUUUAACUAGGGAUAGAUUUAGAUCAUUAGAUGUCAUCAUGGCUUCACAAAAUGAGGUUCUUUUUGCCAAAGAUAGUGUAUAUAUCCACAUCAAUGUUCAAGACACAAAAGAUAAGGAUGCCCACAUCGCUGGAAGAGUUUAUUUGAUGAAAAAGCCUGAGGGUAAUUUCAUUGAGUGGAAGGCUGAGGAAUGCCUGAGCCAUGAUAUUCAAAAUGAUGAAUGGGAUGUGAUUGGUUCAGUUGGAUUUAGAAAUGACAGAGAUUCUGAAUGUGUUUCCAUGAAUGCAAAGAUGGAUGCCAGAAGGAAAUAUAAUAUUAGCUUUGAUGUGCUUGAUUUGAAAAGCUUUAAGCGCAAUGCUCCAAAUCAUAGCUGGGCUUAUAUCAUCUUCAUACUUAAAGAUGGUACUACAUUCCCGGCUCUGCACUUUCAUAAUGGAGGGAGUAAGGCCUUACUUAAAGAACUGGAGACUUUUAUUCACAUUCGAAGGUCACCAAAUGACCAGAGACUGUUUAUAGUACAUGAUCAUGACCCAGAGAUGUUGUCUAAAUCUUUCAAUGAACUAUCCAUCUUCUCUGAUUCCUCUAGUGCAUAUGUUCAGAAAUUUGUCAGUGAACCCCACAAGGGCUUUCCAAAGAAAUUCAUGAAAGAUCCCUACACAGCCACAAUGGGUGGUUUUUCCAAAGUGACAAACUUCUUGAGAGACAAUUUCAUGGCUCCAGAAAAUCUGACCAGGCCACAGUCUGAAAUGGCAGAAUUCUUGCAUGAAGACAUUCCAGGAAUGGAGAUUUCCAACUUGGAUGAGCCAGGAUUUGAAAUGGUUACCAAAACAAAACUCCCUCCUCGACCAGUUGUCAAGAGAUCAGAACAUUUGGAGCUUGCAAAGUGGAAUUCAUUCUUUGAUAGUGAUGGUACCAUUAGUCAAGUUGAAGAGGUCAAGGAAAUUAUAUUUAGAGGUGGUGUUGAUCCAGCAAUUAGAUCAGAAGUUUGGAAAUUUCUUCUUGGCUUCUAUGACUGGGAUAGCACUACUAAGAAACGACAAGAACAGAGAAAAAGAAAAGUAGAUGAUUAUUUCCGCAUGAAGCUCCAGUGGAAAACGAUCAGUUCAGAACAAGAGAGGAGGUUUACUUUGUUAAAAGAGAGAAGGGGAUUGAUUGACAAAGAUGUGAUGCGUACUGACAGAACCCACAAAUUUUUCAGUGGUGACAAGAACCCCAACCUCCAGGUCUUGUAUGACAUACUCAUGACAUACUGUAUGUACAACUUUGACUUAGGCUAUGUUCAAGGUAUGAGUGACAUUCUUGCGCCCAUUUUGGUUGUCAUGGAAAAUGAAGUGGAUGCUUUUUGGUGUUUUGCUGGUGCUAUGGAAAGAGUGUGCCACAAUUUUGAAAUGGACCAGAAUGGUAUGAAGGUUCAACUUUCUCAAAUCCACAAGCUUAUGCAAGUGUAUGAUCCAGAAUUGUGUGCUUAUUUGGAAAGCCAUGACUCUGGAAAUUUUUACUUCUGCUUCCGCUGGAUUCUGAUCAUGUUCAAAAGAGAAUUUCAUUUUCAUGAAAUCCAGAGAUUAUGGGAGGUUAUUUGGACAGAUCUCCCUUGUCAAAACUUUCAUCUGAUAAUUUCCCUGGCAAUCCUUGAUUCUGAGAAGUCUACUCUGAUGGAAAAUAAGUUUGGCUUUACAGAAAUCCUUAAACACAUCAAUGAUAUCAGCCUAUCAAUACCAUUAGAUGACACACUGUGCAAGGCUGAGGGCAUUUUCCUGCAGCUCAAAGAGUUUAAAAAGCUGCCCAAGGCUGUGAAGGAGGUCCUAGGACUCCUUCCUGUCCCAGUAUCCCAGUCCAUGGAGAACAGUGUGUUUAUUGGCUCCGCCUCAAAUACAGAUGUCAAGUCUCAGGACUCUGCCUCCAGAGUGGACACACCCCAGCUCAUGGGUGGGAUCUCAUCCAGUUCCAGUAUUUCAGUCAACGGCUCCAGAAGCUCUCAUUCCCUUGGGGGUAAACAAAAUUCCAUCAUUGAUGAAGGAUCCAAGAUUCUAACAUAGUGUUUGAAGCUUGUUAAAACUCUUGAAUUACUUCAUUAGCUCUUCUAUUAUUGUAUUACAUUUUGGUCCAUUUUUCUUCUCAACUGUUGGUGAUGGAUGACUUGAGUUCAAAUCCACGACUCACAAUUAUCCGCUGUAUAAAUUUAUAAAUAAAUGUAUGGAGAUCAAAAUGUAAACUGAUGUUUAUCUACAGAGGUGACAUUGUUACUGUUAAACUAUAUGUAUCAUUUAAUGUUUCUUAUAAUCAGAUGUCAAAACUUUUAAUUAGUACUUAGGCUACUUGACACACCAAUAUGAAUUUAAAGUAAUAGGUAGACUAGCCAGAUUGUUAAGCAUUCUGUAGUGAUUAUAGGUGUGUCAUUGUUUGUGGGGAUAUACUUGGAAUUGUAUUCUGCUUUCUGGGUACAUGUGUUUAAAAACCAAAUGGUAGGUUUCAAAAACAAAAUUUCUUUAGUGUUGAAUUUUGACAAUUAAAAAAAAGGUCAAGGUAGAUGUAUUGUAGUGGUGACUGUUCUGAGUUAUUUUGUCUGUCAUUACUGACAACUUUAAUCAUUAUAUAAUAUACAAACUAGAUCAUACUUCAACUUGUGCCAACAUUUUUACCACUUUGUUGUUAGUACAUCCUUCUAUCAUUUUUUGUGUACACUAACUAGAUACCACUUCAACUAUUUAUUGUGUCAAAUUUUGUUUUCCCCUUUUCUUCAUCUGCAGAUCUUUUUAAGAACUGCUCUUCAUUCUAAUUUUUUACACAAAUCUAAAAAUAAUCAUGUUUGAGAAAUUUGGUUUUCUUUCUGUGAAAAACACAAAAAUUUGUCUUGCAGACUAACAGAUAGUUUAAUUUUUAAUUGAAUGAACAAAAGUAUUUUAUGUGAUUUGUUUGGUAUUAAAAUUUGAAAACUUGAUUGAAAUGAUUUCACCAAUAAAUAUUUCAACAAUCAUUUUUAGACGAUUUGUCAAUAUUUCAAUAACAGUCAACUAUUUUUUAAGUGUUCUAGUUGUCAUUUAUGUUCCUAUUUGCAUUCUACUUUUAGCAUAGAAACUGUUAGUCCAUUAACGGAUGCCACUCAUAAAUCAGUUUUUAUGCCACAGUUGACUAAACUUAAUCAAUGUCUUAAAUAUUACAGUAAGUAGGGUAACUCCUGCUUAGGAGAGGUUAACUGACCAAUUAAAAUGUAAAAUAUCCCUACAUUUUUAAAUGGGUAACUGAUCAGACUAUUUAAAUUCAACAUAAUUAAGUGCUUAUUCAUUAGCAUAGUCUUCAGUAGGAUAGAAACAAGGUUUGAAGUCACUGAAAUUUUUAUAUAUAACAAGGUUGGGGUAAAAGUUAGGAUGAACUGUAUUUGUGUAUUGUUUUUAUUUUUUUACUACUAUAGUUCAGUACUAGUCACAUUCUAGUUCUAAACCAGUCUAUACUAUCAAUUGUAAUUUUUUGAAAAUGCUUUUCUCAAAGCAGUUUUUAGUUUCAUUGUAAUAACAUUUGAAUGUUAUGGAUAGUUUUAGUAUAAUGUUUUGAAAAUAAUUUUUUUUUUUUGGUAGAUUUUUGUCUAUUUUUCUUAUGCAUUUAAUUUUUUUUUUUUAAAUUAAUAAAUAAUUUUACUGGUACUUUAUAAUCUGACAAUAAAUUAUACAGAAAUAUUUUAGCAAUGACUUUAUGAUACUUACAAUAGCUGUAAAAUGUACCUAAUUGGCAUUAUUCUAAUAUUAAAAGAAAAAAAAAAGACAAUUUCAAUCAUUAUUGUUUAUACUUUGAAAAAACUAUUAGAUUUAAUCAUUGUAAUAUUUAGUCUAACACAAAGAAUUUUAAAGAACAUGAAAUAAAUAAUGUAUGUUGACUUGAUAAGAGGGAAGAGUUUUGUCUUGGAAAACUUUUCUCAUUCAUUUGUAGUGAAAUAUAUCUUUCUAAUGAACUUUGCAAUGCUUUUGAAUAUUGUUAACUUAUGAAUUGUACAUGGAAGCUCUGAUACCAAAGUAUGAAGUGCCCCUUACAUUAACCCUUAGAAUACAAGAUUGCUUUUUCUACUUCCCUGUCUGUGUAUUAAAAGUAUAUAGCCUUUAAUGUACAACUCUGCAAACUUGUGUAUUAAAGGGUUAUUGGAAUUUUAAGGGAAGGAGUCAAAUCAAAGGGUGAAAUUGUUCACUUUAUUUGUGAUAUAGUUAACUCAUGUUUGGUGAUAUAGUAUUUCUGUUCAGAAUCUCUCCUUGUAAUAUUUGUGAAGUGCUUUGAUAUAGUCUGAUUGUUUUUAUAUUGCUAGAUUAUGCCACAGUAGCCUGGUGAGAUCUACAUUAUACCUGACAAUGUACUGGUACCUUAACUUUUAUUUGGAAAUCUUAGACCAUUGACUACCUUGCUCUUUUUAAAUACUGCUAGCUUAUAUUACAGUAAGAUUCUAAUUUUAGCUUUGCUUAUAAAUGUCACAUCUCAAGAGCUAUUAGAUUUCACACUUGUGUUGGUUGUGACAUUUAGCUGUACUGUUUUCAAACACUGGACACAAUUUGUUUCUUUCAAAUUGUCUGAUUUUGUCAGUGUUGUAUACAAAUUAAACUUGUUUAUCAUUACUUAGGGAAAGUGAAGAUCUGCAUGCAUUAUUUUUUUUUGUUGGAACAUUACCGUAAACAGAACUUUUUUUCUUAGCGACAGUCUCCUUUAUUAUGUAGUUUUUUUGAUAGUCAUCGUUUGACAUUGUUGAACUAUUAGGUGGUAACUAGCAGAGAUGAUUUUAAAAAUUUUCCUGUAGAUUGUGUUGCAACUGCCAGUAGAUGACAGAGUAACUGGGUUUAUUGAAAUACUAAAAUAGGAAGUGCAGAAGUAUAUAAAGGAUAUGUUGGACAACCAUAGCUUAGCAGCUUUGGAAUGUAUAUUGUCCCACUUAUAAAAUCGAUAAUGAAUGACCAUUGUUAUAUUGGACUUCUGAGAGGCAUGAGGAAAUACUUCUAUACAGCUAUAUUAUAAAACAGAUACAUGUCCUGUUGGAGAAAUUAGUUAAAUAUCAGCAUUUAUCUUUCUUAGCAUGUGUACAGUUUUUCUCUCUUUCACUCUGUGAUUUAAAGUUUUAUUGUUGACCAUAAUAUAUCAUGUCGUAUCAUUCCACUACUAGUUGUUCUAUCACUUUGAAAAGAAUUCACAAAAAUUCAGAUUUUGUUCUUUUUUUUUUAAAAAGUAUUUUAAUAAAGUGUUUACUUAUUGUUUUGCACAGACCGAAUCAUCUAUUUCUAUUAUUUGAGUUCAACAUUAGUUGAUGUUAACAAAAGUUUUUUGUGCUUGUAAAGCUUUUUUUCAUCAUAAAUACUGUCAUGUUUAUUUAUCAUGCCGCUAUAUUAUUAUUAUGUCAUAAAGUGAAAAGUUUUGUUAAUUUUGUGUGUAUUGAUCAUGCUUUAUUAUGCAUAUUACAUAAGGCCCUGUACAUGUUUAUACUUUCAAUUUGACAUAAACAUAGGAGCUAAUGUCUAGACCUUUAUUAUCUUUUCCUUUUUUUUUUCUUUCAUUUUAAGUUCCUUCUAUUUGAUGAUAUUGAUGCAUUUGUUAUUUGUUCAGGUUGUGAAUGCAAGAUUUUUUUUUAACUAGUGUGGUUAUUCAAACUAAAUAUUUAGCUUGAUUUAGAACAACCUGAGGGCAAUAUACAUUUUUAACUGGUGUGUUGAAUCAGAUCACUGCAAAGAAAUUCUCAAGUUCUGUUGAAGUGGUCCUAUGUGGUUUCCUUAUGCACUUUGGCCAAAACUUCAAGGGGCUGAAUAGCACUAGUCACGAGUCAGCAGGCUGUAGUUUGGGCAUCACUGAAUUAGAUUGACAUCUUUCCUGAACGUAAAGAUGUGUAGGACCAGUGUAGGCCACAGAGUGUGACUAUUAUUUCCUGACACACUUAAUGUGUCAUAAAACACAAGGUGUAAACUAAGACUAUGAGAUGUGCCAGCCGUGCAACAGAACAGUUAGUUGCCAAACUGAAGUUUCAUGUUUUAACAGUGACUGGAAUGUUUAGUAGCUCUCUGUUAGCUUUCUGCCAUUUAUUUUGAAGAUUGAAAGCAGUUGUUGUAUUAUACUGGUCUAUAACCUGGCAUUGUGACUACUGUGGGCUGAGAACAAUGUGAACUCAAUCUUGCUCUGUUGAUUCUUAGGUCUUGCUAAUUUAACCACUGUGAACAAACCUUAUUCAUAAUUCUUACACUGAAAAUUAUUUAUGACCUUUGACAAUAAUUACAAAUUUAUUCAAUAAUAAUAAAUUAGGAAUAUUCACAUUGUUAACUGACUUCGAAACAAUGGUGGCAUCAUGUCAAGAAAAUGUAUACAGGUACUUAGUAACUUAAUAACAAAAUAGGUUCCAAAGAAUUAUUCAUAAGAUAAAUUUGUCAGUGAAAUAUUUUUUAAAUUUGAUGUUAACUAAGCAUAUCUCUAUGUGGUCUCAUAUAUCUAUGCGGUUUCAUAUAUCUAUGCGGUCUCAUAUAUCUAUGUCAAAUUCUUCAGAUAAGAGCUACUAAACAAAGGUUUUCUUAAGUUAUCUAAAUGACCUUUGAGUAUAUUUAACAAACAAAUGGCAAUCAUGCGCUUGCCUUAAUUUGUACCUGGCAUAAAUAGAAGGUUUGGAAGAGGAAUACUUUAUAUGUGUAAGUAGUAUCUUGAUGUACAUGUAAUACAAACUGGCAUCUCAAGAGGUAAUACUGGAAUGAUGUUUAUUGAAUUAGUCUGUACAGAAUUGUCUUCCAUAUAAAAGUAAUAUAGAAUUUAAGUAAUAUCAUAAUAAAUUAGGCUGAAUAGACUCGAACUAAUUAUUUGUUUCAGCAAUUAAUUUCAGAUUUCAUUAUAAUUUAGAAAAAAAAAAACUUUCCAUAGUAGACUGUGUGUAUGCUGAAAUGUUAACCUCAUUUAUUGAUGAAUUUAUUUAUUCAAAAUGUAUGUACAAACCAUAUGCAAUUUAUAGUCUCAUGUUUGAAAUUAAAAUAUUUGAACUGAA